CUCUGCUACUGGUCUAGAGCGCUCGCUCUGCGACAGGUGCAGAGCGAGCUGGCGCUCUCCGUGGGAGCGGUUCAGGAGCAGGGUGUCAUCCCAAUACACACACGGGUCAGGGUCUGCAGCUGGGUCACGGGUUAAUGACAAACCAAGAACACAAGGAAGUAGAGACCCCCCACACACACACACACACACACCAGGGUGAAACCCAUAUCAGGACAAAGUAACACAAACACACACAAGGUAAAACCCAUAACAGAACAAGGUAACACAAACACACACAACCCAUAUCAGAACAAGGUAACACAAACACACACAACCCAUAUCAGAACAAGGUAACACAAACCCACACAAGGUAAAACCCAUAUCAGAACAGGUUAACACACACACACACACACACACACACAC
ensembl:lncRNA